GGGGAAUAUUGGGCAAUGGGCGAAAGCCUGACCCAGCAACGCCGCGUGAAGGAAGAAGGCCCUCGGGUUGUAAACUUCUUUUAUUCGGGACGAAACAAAUGACGGUACCAUAGGAGGAAGCCCCGGCUAACUACGUGCCAGCAGCCGCGGUAAUACGUAGGGGGCAAGCGUUAUCCGGAAUUACUGGGCGUAAAGGGUGCGUAGGCGGUUUAUCAAGUCAGGGGUGAAAGGCUACGGCUCAACCGUAGUGAGCCUCUGAAACUGGUGAACUUGAGUGUAGGAGAGGAAAGUGGAAUUCCCAGUGUAGCGGUGAAAUGCGUAGAUAUUGGGAGGAACACCAGUGGCGAAGGCGACUUUCUGGACUACAACUGACGCUGAGGCACGAAAGCGUGGGGAGCAAACA
rnacentral:rRNA from 1 species